rnacentral:rRNA from 1 species
GACGAACGCUGGCGGCGUGCUUAGCACAUGCAAGUCGAACGGAAAGGCCUGCUUUCCCUUGUGGAUUGCGGGUACUCGAGUGGCGAACGGGUGAGUAACACGUGAGUGAUCUGCCCCCAACUUGGGUAUAAGCCUGGGAAACUGGGUCUAAUUCCCGAUAGGACUGCAGGGUGGUGCCUGUGGUGGAAAACGAUUUUCUAGUGGUUGGGGAUGAGCUCGCGGCCUAUCAGCUUGUUGGUGGGGUAAUGGCCUACCAAGGCGGCGACGGGUAGCCGGCCUGAGAGGGUGGACGGCCACAUUGGGACUGAGAUACGGCCCAGACUCCUACGGGAGGCAGCAGUGGGGAAUAUUGCACAAUGGGCGGAAGCCUGAUGCAGCGACGCCGCGUGGGGGAUGACGGCCUUCGGGUUGUAAACUCCUUUCGACCGCGAGGAAGCCACCUGGUUGGAAGGGUGGUGACGGUAGUGGUAGAAGAAGCACCGGCUAACUACGUG